GAUGAAGAACGUAGCGAAAUGCGAUAAGUAAUGUGAAUUGCAGAAUUCAGUGAAUCAUCGAAUCUUUGAACGCACCUUGCGCUCUUUGGUAUUCCGAAGAGCAUGCCUGUUUGAGUGUCAUGAAAAUAUCAACCUUGACUUGGGUUUUGUGCUCUAGUCUCGGCUUGGAAUUGGGUGCUUGCCGCUUUUACGAGCGGCUCACCUUAAAUGUAUUAGCUGGAUCUGUCUUUGAGACUUGGUUUGACUUGGCGUAAUAAGUAUUUCGCUAAGGACAUUCCUCGGAGUGGCCUCGUUUCUAGGACGCUUGUCCGCUUUCCAAUACAAGUUCCACCUCGUGGACAUGACUUUUUAUUAUCUGGCCUCAAAUCAGGUAGGACUACCCGCUGAACUUAAGCAUAUCAAUAAGCGGAGGA
rnacentral:misc_RNA from 1 species